ACGUAGGGUGCGAGCGUUGUCCGGAAUUAUUGGGCGUAAAGAGCGCGCAGGCGGUGUGCCAAGUCAGAUGUGAAAUAUCCCGGCUUAACCGGGAGGGGUCAUUUGAAACUGGUAGACUAGAGUACAGCAGAGGUUAGUGGAAUUCCCGGUGUAGUGGUGAAAUGCGUAGAUAUCGGGAGGAACACCAGUGGCGAAGGCGACUAUCUGGGCUGAAACUGACGCUGAGGCGCGAAGGCUAGGGGAGCAAACAGGA
rnacentral:rRNA from 1 species